rnacentral:miRNA from 1 species
UCUGUGACCAGGGCUCCCUCUGCC